rnacentral:misc_RNA from 1 species
UUAAGUUCAGCGGGUAUCCCUACCUGAUCCGAGGUCAAAAUGUGGGGGUGGCUUGCUGGAGAGCCGCUACCGUCAGACGCCAGGCGCUUUUCUGCUGCGCUCGAAGCCAACGUACCGGCUGCCAAUGCAUUUGAGGCGAGUCUCCCCAGGGGGAGACAGGCGCCCAACACCAAGCUGAGCUUGAGGGGUUAAAUGACGCU